rnacentral:rRNA from 1 species
UGCAAGUCGAGCGGACUGAUGGGAGCUUGCUCCCUGUAUGUUAGCGGCGGACGGGUGAGAAUCACGUGGGUAACCUGCCUGUGAGACUGGGGUAACUCCUGGAAACCGGGGCUAAUACCGGAUGGUUGUUUGAACCUCAUGGUUCAGACAUAAAAGGUGGCUUCGGCUACCACUUACAGAUGGACCCCCGGCGCGUUAUCUAUUUGGUGAGGUAACGGCUCACCAAGGCGACAAUGCGUAUCCGACCUGAGAGGGUGAUCGGCCACACUGGGACUGAGACACGGCCCCCACUCCUACGGGAGGCGGCAGUAGGGAAUCUUCCGCAAUGGACAAAAGUCUGACAGAGCAACGCCCCGUGAGUGAUGAAAGUUUUCUGAUCGCAAAGCUCUGUUGUUAGGGAAGAACAAGUGCCCUUCAAAUAGGGCGGCACCUUUACGGUACCUAACCCAAAAGCCACGGCUAACUACCUGCCAGCAGCCCCGGUAAUACCUAGGUGGGAAGCGUUUUCCGGAAUUUUUGGGCGUAAAGGGCUCCCAGGCGGUUUCUUAAGUCUGAUGUGAAAGCCCCCGGCCCAACCCGGGAGGG